rnacentral:rRNA from 1 species
CUGGGUUUGACAUACACCGGAAAGCUGCAGAGAUGUAGCCCCUUUUAGUCGGUGUACAGGUGGUGCAUGGCUGUCGUCAGCUCGUGUUGUGAGAUGUUGGGUUAAGUCCCGCAACGAGCGCAACCCUCGCCCUUAGUUGCCAGCAUUAAGUUGGGCACUCUAACAAGACUGCCGACCUUUAAGUCGGAGGAAGGUGGGGAUGACGUCAAGUCAUCAUGGCCCUUAUGUCCAGGGCUACAAACGUGCUACAAUGGUCGAUACAAAGGGUUGCGAACUCGCGAGAGGGAGCCAAUCUCAAAAAGUCGACCUCAGUACAGAUAGGAGUCUGCAACUCGACUCCUUGAAGUCGGAAUCGCUAGUAAUCGCUGAUCAGCAUGGCAGCGGUGAAUACGUUCCC